AACGAACGCUGGCGGCAUGCCUAACACAUGCAAGUCGAACGAGACCUUCGGGUCUAGUGGCGCACGGGUGCGUAACGCGUGGGAACCUGCCCUUAGGUUCGGAAUAACUCCCCGAAAGGGGUGCUAAUACCGGAUAAUGUCUUCGGACCAAAGAUUUAUCGCCUUUGGAUGGGCCCGCGUUGGAUUAGCUAGUUGGUAGGGUAAAAGCCUCCAAGGCGACGAUCCAUAGCUGGUCUGAGAGGAUGAUCAGCCACACUGGGACUGAGACACGGCCCAGACUCCUACGGGAAGCAGCAGUGGGGAAUAUUGGACAAUGGGCGAAAGCCUGAUCCAGCAAUGCCGCGUGAGUGAUGAAGGCCUUAGGGUUGUAAAGCUCUUUUACCCGGGAUGAUAAUGACAGUACCGGGAGAAUAAGCUCCGGCUAACUCCGUG
rnacentral:rRNA from 1 species